GAUGAAGAACGCAGCGAAAUGCGAUAAGUAAUGUGAAUUGCAGAAUUCAGUGAAUCAUCGAAUCUUUGAACGCACAUUGCGCCCGCCAGUAUUCUGGCGAGCAUGCCUGUUCGAGCGUCAUUUCAACCAUCAAGCCCCAGGCUUGUGUUGGAGCCCUGCGGCUGCCGCAGCCUCCCAAAACCAGUGGCGGGCUCGCUAUCACACCGAGUGCAGUAGUUUACUCUUCGCUCAGGGCGUGUGGCGGGUGCUAGCCGUGAAACCCCCAACUUCUCAAGGUUAACCUCGGAUCAGGUAGGAAUACCCGCUGAACUUAAGCAUAUCAAUAAGCGGAGGA
rnacentral:misc_RNA from 1 species